GGAGACGAAACCCAGAAUGAAGAAUCAACAGGGUUAGAGGGACUGACAAGGAAUAAUUGAACCCAGGCGGUGAAUGUGACUUGGCAACGUUCAACUGAUUUCAUCUGGGGGAAGGAUCUGCAAAAAAUGAAAUGUAAACCAAGUAUACUGAAUGGACUUCCAGGCACUGCCAGAAUUUUCACUUCUUUUCCUGGUUGGAACAAUUCCCCAAUGAGUCCCAUCGAUUAUGAACGAAUAUGCGGAGUGGGAGGGGAUGGAGGAAAAGAAG